rnacentral:rRNA from 1 species
UACGGGGGGGGCAAGCGUUGUUCGGAAUUACUGGGCGUAAAGGGCUCGUAGGCGGCCUGUUAAGUCGAACGUGAAAUCCCCGGGCUCAACCCGGGAACUGCGUCCGAUACUGGCAGGCUUGAAUCCGGGAGAGGGAUGUGGAAUUCCAGGUGUAGCGGUGAAAUGCGUAGAUAUCUGGAGGAACACCGGUGGCGAAGGCGGCAUCCUGGACCGGUAUUGACGCUGAGGCGCGAAAGCCAGGGGAGCAAACGGG